UACGUAGGGGGGCAAGCGUUGUCCGGAAUCAUUGGGCGUAAAGAGCGCGUAGGCGGCCCGAUAAGUCCGCUGUGAAAGUCAAGGGCUCAACCCUUGAAUGCCGGUGGAUACUGUCGGGCUAGAGUCCGGAAGAGGCGAGUGGAAUUCCUGGUGGUAGCGGUGGAAUGCGCAGAUAUCAGGAGGAACACCGUGGCGAAGGCGG
rnacentral:rRNA from 1 species